UACGGAAGGCAGCAGUGGGGAAUAUUGCACAAUGGACGCAAGCCUGAUGCAGCCAUGCCGCGUGUAUGAAGAAGGCCUUCGGGUUGUAAAGUACUUUCAGUCGUGAGGAAGGUGUUAAGGUUAAUAACCUUAGCAAUUGACGUUAGCGACAGAAGAAGCACCGGCUAACUCCGUGCCAGCAGCCGCGGUAAUACGGAGGGUGCGAGCGUUAAUCGGAAUUACUGGGCGUAAAGGGCACGCAGGCGGUUAAUUAAGUUGGAUGUGAAAUCCCCGGGCUUAACCUGGGAAUGGCAUUCAAGACUGGUUAGCUAGAGUCUUGUAGAGGGGGUAGAAUUCCAUGUGUAGCGGUGAAAUGCGUAGAGAUGUGGAGGAAUACCGGUGGCGAAGGCGGCCCCUGGACAAAGACUGACGCUCAUGUGCGAAAGCGUGGGGAGCAAACAGGGAUUAGAUACC
rnacentral:rRNA from 1 species